rnacentral:rRNA from 1 species
GACGAACGCUGGCGGCGUGCUUAACACAUGCAAGUCGAACGGAAAGGCGCGGCUCUUGCGGGGUGCUCGUUAGGCGAACGGGUGAGUAACACGUGUGUAACCCGCCCCUGUCUUUGGGAUAACACUACGAAACUGGGGCUAAUACCGGGUAGGAUCUCCUGCUGCACGGGGGGGGAUGGAAAGUGUCGGCGGUUGGGGCUGGACUCGCGGCUUAUCAGCUGGUUGGUGGGGUAGGGGUUUACCAAGGCUUUGACGGGUAGGCGGCCUGGGAGGGUGGCCGGCCACCUGGGGACUGCGAGACGGCGCAGUAUCCUACGGGCGGCAGCAGGGGAGAAUAUUACGGAGUGGGCGGACGCGUGAUGUGGCGACCCCGCGUGCGGGAUGCUGGCCUUCGGGUUAUAAACAGAUGUCGACUGUGACGAGGAGUGAGUGACGGUACUGGGUCAAGAAGCACCGGCUAACUACGUG